rnacentral:rRNA from 1 species
AACGAACGCUGGCGGCAUGCCUAACACAUGCAAGUCGAACGAGACCUUCGGGUCUAGUGGCGCACGGGUGCGUAACGCGUGGUAACCUGCCCUUAGGUUCGGAAUAACUCCCCGAAAGGUGUGCUAAUACCGGUUAAUGUCUUCUGACCAAAGAUUUAUCGCCUUUGGAUGGGCCCGCGUUGGAUUAGCUAGUUGGUAGGGUAAAAGCCUACCAAGGCGACGAUCCAUAGAUGGUCAGAGAGGAUGAUCAGCCACACUGGGACUGAGACACGGCCCAGACUAGUACGGGAGGCAGCAGUGGGGAAUAUUGGAAAAUGGGCGAAAGGCUGAUCCAGCAAGGCCGGGUGAGUGAUGAAGGGCUUAGGGUUGUAAAGCUCUUUUAACCGGGAUGAUAAUGACAGUAACGGGAGAAUAAGCACCGGCUAACUCCGUG